rnacentral:rRNA from 1 species
GUGAGGAAUUUUCCGCAAUGGGCGAAAGCCUGACGGAGCAAUGCCGCGUGAAGGAUGAAGGCCUAUGGGUUGUAAACUUCUUUUCUCAGAAAAGAAUUAUGACGGUAUCUGAGGAAUAAGCAUCGGCUAACUCUGUGCCAGCAGCCGCGGUAAGACAGAGGAUGCAAGCGUUAUCCGGAAUGAUUGGGCGUAAAGCGUCUGUAGGUUGUUUAAAAAGUAUUCUGUCAAAGAUUAGGGCUUAACCCUAGAUAGGCAGAAUAAACUUUUAAGCUAGAGGUUGGUAGAGGCAGAGGGAAUUCCCGGUGGAGCGGUGAAAUGCGUAGAUAUCGGGAGGAACACCAAAGGCGAAGGCACUAUGCUGGGCCAAUACUAACACUGAGAGACGAAAGCGAGGGGAGCAAAUGGGAUUAGAAACCCGAGUAGUCC